ACAAGAUCAAAGAGUCAACAUCACAGAGCCGUGGGGAUAGCAGUCCACCUGUGAAGGGUACAAUUAAAUGUUUUCAACUUCCUCUAAGACAUCCUGCCAUUGUGAAAGAAGAGGACAGCCAAAUGAAUACACAGGUGGCUGAACAUGAAAAGACAGUGGAGUGUGAUUGGUGCUGUCCGUGGUCUUCCUGCUAAGGAAGUAGCCUUAACAAAGAAACUGGAGAUGUAAAGGGCAGUCUGAACUGGCUAGACUCAGAAGGCAGCAGUGGAGGAACUUUUAGCUGCAGCUUUUAAAAUACAAAGAACAGAAAAGAUGAUGCUAUAGAAGCCAUUUCUGUGAAAUAGAGACACUUCAAAGAGAAAGAGCUGCAAAAACCUUGGAUGGAUUAAGCCACGCCAAGAAAAUCAUGACAGGCAUAGUCAAUGAAGAUACUUGAGUUUAAAAGGACCACUCUUCAUAGAAAAGCUGUCCUUUAUACUGCUCAUCGCCCAUGUCGGAGAAUGAGAAUCACCUGGGAUUCCAUAUCUAUCACUGAUUCCAUCUUUAGGAAACCUAAAGAGGCCACGUUAUGAGCUGCCCAAUACAGAAGGUGCCAUUUCUCUCUUUCCUGCCUCCUGUCCCAUCCCAUCCUUCUUCAUUGUUUGAAAUGCCUUCAGUUUUCAUGGGAAGAAUAUCUGUCUUAGAUAAUUUCUAAUGCAUCAAUAAAACACCACAGACUGGGCAAUUCACAAA